AAUGAAGUGCCUGACUAAAGGGUUAUUUUGAUAGAAUAAAAAAUGUAAUUUUAUUACCUUCAUU
rnacentral:tRNA from 1 species